rnacentral:rRNA from 1 species
UGUUUCGGCUAGGGGGUCAUCCCGACUUACCAACCCGAUGCAAACUACGAAUACCGAAGAAUGUUAUCACGGGAGACACACGGCGGGUGCUAACGUCCGUCGUGAAGAGGGAAACAACCCAGACCGCCAGCUAAGGUCCCAAAGUCAUGGUUAAGUGGGAAACGAUGUGGGAAGGCACAGACAGCCAGGAUGUUGGCUUAGAAGCAGCCAUCAUUUAAAGAAAGCGUAAUAGCUCACUGGUCGAGUCGGCCUGCGCGGAAGAUGUAACGGGGCUAAACCAUGCACCGAAGCUGCGGCAGCGACACUAUGUGUUGUUGGGUAGGGGAGCGUUCUGUAAGCCUGCGAAGGUGUGCUGUGAGGCAUGCUGGAGGUAUCAGAAGUGCGAAUGCUGACAUAAGUAACGAUAAAGCGGGUGAAAAGCCCGCUCGCCGGAAGACCAAGGGUUCCUGUCCAACGUUAAUCGGGGCAGGGUGAGUCGACCCCUAAGGCGAGGCCGAAAGGCGUAGUCGAUGGGAAACAGGUUAAUAUUCCUGUACUUGGUGUUACUGCGAAGGGGGGACGGAGAAGGCUAUGUUAGCCGGGCGACGGUUGUCCCGGUUUAAGCAUGUAGGCUGAUUGUCCAGGCAAAUCCGGAUAAUCAAGGCUGAGGUGUGAUGACGAGGCACUACGGUGCUGAAGUAACAAAUGCCCUGCUUCCAGGAAAAGCCUCUAAGCAUCAGGUAACAUUAAAUCGUACCCCAAACCGACACAGGUGGUCAGGUAGAGAAUACCAAGGCGCUUGAGAGAACUCGGGUGAAGGAACUAGGCAAAAUGGUGCCGUAACUUCGGGAGAAGGCACGCUGGUGUGUAGGUGAAGCCCCUGCGG